rfam:Bombyx mori DNA, contig: Bm_scaf14_contig10890, strain: p50T/Dazao, build 2, whole genome shotgun sequence.
UUAAUUCGAUUUUGUAUGGAGUUGGAACGUUUGCCUAAGUUUGCCGCUAGUGGCGCUGUCCAAACUCCAUACAAAAUCGAGUUA